GCUGGGCUGGAGGGAGGAACUCUUCACUCCUUCAAAUGAAGCUUGUCAGACAUUAGGAGAGGAGGCAGAAGAGAGUCUCAACAAGCCAAGAGCAGAAGCAGAGUCAACUCAGAAAGGGGAUCUUUUUCUGCUUUUUUUUUUCUAUAUGCCAUUGAGGUGACAAGACAGACCCUCCUUGUCUGUGGGUCAGCUGAGGAGAAAAGAUGAAGAACCAAAUCACCAGCGCCCUUUCUGACUUCUUCUUUGAGUAUGAGACCCCUCGCCAGGUGCUGGUGAGGAAUAAGAGGGUGGGACUUGUGUGCCGGUUCAUCCAGAUGGGGGUCCUGGUUUACAUCAUUGGGUGGGUCUUCAUUUAUGAGAAAGGUUACCAAUCCACAGACACAGCUGUGAGCUCUGUGUUCACCAAAAUGAAGGGAGUGGGCUACACCAACGUAAGCGGGAGGGAGACGGUGUGGGACGUGGCUGACUACGUCUUCCCCUCUCAGGGAGACUCAUCGUUCGUUGUGAUGACUAACUUCAUCAUUACCGAAGGUCAGAAGAUGGGAAAGUGUCCAGAGCUUACGGGUAAAUGCACCUCAAACGAUGACUGUACAGAGGGGAGUUACAAACGUACGGGACAUGGACAUAUGACUGGAGUCUGUGUGAACACAACAAAAACCUGCGAGGUGUUAGCGUGGUGCCCUGUUGAAAAUGACACCAUCAUACCAAAGCCUCCUCUUCUGACAUCUGCAGAAAACUACACACUUUUCAUCAAAAACUCUGUAACUUUCCCUCUAUUUGAUGUCACAAGGAGUAAUUUGGUGGAGGGCAUUGAUGGGGCAUACCUCAAGAAAUGUCUUCACCAUCCGAAGAAUGAUCCACUCUGUCCUAUAUUCAAACUGGGAGACAUAGUUAAACACUCUGGCUUCAGUUUUGAAGAUUUAGCCCAGGAGGGAGGAGCUAUUGGUAUUGUGAUUGACUGGACAUGUAACUUCGAUGUUGAUGUAAAACACUGCAAACCUCAGUACAACUUUCACGGUCUCUAUGGAAACAAAGACAGCACGAAUGCAUCGCUUGGCUACAACUUCAGAUAUGCCAAGCAUUAUAUGGAGAAUAAUGAAGCCAAGAGGACCCUCCUCAAAGUGUUUGGCAUCAGGUUUGAUAUCAUAGUGCAAUCACUGGCAAGAAAAUUUGAUAUAAUUCCAACACUCACAGCAAUAGGCUCAGGCGUGGGGAUUUUUGGAGUGGCGACUGUGGUCUGCGACUUGGUGCUGCUCUAUUUGCUACCAAAAAGAAAGUUUUACAAGAACAUGAAGUUCAAAUAUACAGACACUCACACACAGCUUUCAGUCCUUCUCAGCCUCAUAACAUGACACCAGGACAUGACCUCCAGAAGAAUCAAGCAACAGCAGCAGAGGAUCCUGAUUCAGAGGCUGGAAGCACAGAGACAGAGCAGAAGUAAAGCCAGUGGGAAGCCAUUUUCCAAAGUGAACUUCAGAGGAACUUCAUCAUGACAUGGAGGGAAACUCAAGCACAGACAUUGGAUCUUUAACAUAGACGUCCUUCCACUCCAUAAACUAAGCAGUGACUGUAAUUAUCUCCGUUUUAGAUGAAGCCAUCUAUAUACAAAUUGUAUGUGUACUUUUUUGGGUGUUACUCUGCUGUUCCUAAGAUGGGUGUAACCUUCACAACUUCAACCAUGUCUGAGAUAUGAAGAUGUGGAACUCUGUGUAUUCUGUGUGCACAUACAUGGCCUCACCCGGUUUACCCGUCAUUGCAAAUAAGGAGAGUAAACUUGUGUUUGCAUUUCUAACUAUAAACUGAUUCAAUGUUUAAACUGGUGAUUCAUCCCAUGGGUACAUUACAUGACAGACAGAUGGAUUAAAUAAACAUUGUUUCCUGUUUUUUAUUCACUGAAAACAGCAACAAACUUUCAGGUCCUCAGAGGGUUGUUUUUAAUAUUAUUAUUGUUUCCGUCCAUGUUGAGUGGAAAAAGCAUGUGAAAAAAUAGCUUAUUCAUAUUGAUAAAUUUUUACAUAGUAAAGGCAUUCCAUAGGUAUGUGUCAUGCUUCAGUUUCAACAGGUGAGUACAUUCAGGUGUGAAACAGGCAUCAAACAAAAAGAGCAGAAAUGGACUUCUUAGGCCCCGUCCACACGAAGCCAAACCCUGGCCUAAACGCACAAAUUUUUCACCAAACCAGCCUCUCAUCCAUACGAAGCCGGCGUU